rnacentral:rRNA from 1 species
GGAGGAAUAUUGGUCAAUGGGCGCAAGCCUGAACCAGCCAAGUCGCGUGAAGGAAGACGGCCCUAUGGGUUGUAAACUUCUUUAGGGUGGGAACAAAGGACGCCACGCGUGGCGAGAUGAGUGUACCACCAGAAUAAGCAUCGGCUAACUCCGUGCCAGCAGCCGCGGUAAUACGGAGGAUGCGAGCGUUAUCCGGAUUUAUUGGGUUUAAAGGGUGCGUAGGCGGUUUGUCAAGUCAGCGGUCAAACUGCGGGGCUUAACCUCGUAUUGCCGUUGAAACUGGCUGACUAGCGUGGCGUCGAGGUGUGCGGAAUGCGUUGUGUAGCGGUAG